rnacentral:rRNA from 1 species
ACUGCUCAGUAACACGUGGACAACCUGCCCUUAGGUUGGGUAUAAACCCGGGAAACUGGGUAUAAUACCCGAUAGGUCUCGAUUGCUGGAAUGCAUCGAGAUUUAAAGCUCCGGCGCCUAAGGAUGGGUCUGCGGCCUAUCAGGUAGUAGUGGGUGUAGCGUACCUACUAGCCUACGACGGGUACGGGUUGUGAGAGCAAGAGCCCGGAGAUGGAUUCUGAGACACGAAUCCAGGCCCUACGGGGUGCAGCAGGCGCGAAAACUUUACAAUGCUGGCAACAGCGAUAAGGGAACCUCGAGUGCCAGGUUACAAAUCUGGCUGUCGAGAUGCCUAAAAAGCAUUUCAUAGCAAGGACCGGGCAAGACCGGUGCCAGCCGCCGCGGUAACACCGGCGGCUCGAGUGGUAACCGUUAUUAUUGGGUCUAAAGGGUCUGUAGCCGGCCGGAUAAGUCUCUUGAGAAAUCUGGCAGCUUAACUGUCAGGCUUUCAGGAGAUACUGUCUGGCUCGAGGCCGGGAGAGGUGAGAGGUACUUCAGGGGUAGGGGUGAAAUCUUGUAAUCCUUGAAGGACCACCAGUGGCGAAGGCGUCUCACCAGAACGGACCUGACGGCAAGGGACGAAAGCUAGGGGCACGAACCGGAUUAGAUACCCGGGUAGUCCUAGCCGUAAACGAUACUCGCUAGGUGUCGGCCACGGUGCGACCGUUGUCGGUGCCGUAGGGAAGCCGUGAAGCGAGCCACCUGUGAAGUACGGCCGCAAGGCUGAAACUUAAAGGAAUUGGCGGGGGAGCAC